AUGUCAGUAGAGGUGGGAUGGGAGCUACUUUGGAAGAGCAUGAACAUUGGGGAAGAGAAAGAAGUGCAGAAUUUAAGAAACACAGGGAUUGAGAUUGUUCGUAAAUGUGGUCACCUCCCUCUUGCAAUCAAGGUUACCGCUAGUGCUUUGGCAAGUAGAGAUCUGACGGAGAAUGAGUGGAAAAAGUAUUUGGGCAAAUAUGCUGGUUCCCAGAGCAUGCUCUCUGAUGAAAUAGAAGAAGCUCUGUAUCUAAGCUAUGAUGAGUUGUCGCAUCGUCUGAAACAGUGUUUCCUUUAUUGUACUUUGUACGCUGAAGAUUCUGUCAUUCGGCAUGAUGAAGUUACCUGGUUAUGGAUUGCCGAAAGCUUCAUCGAGGAGCAGCAUGGCCAACUACUAGAAGACAUAGCAGCCGAGUACUACUACGAGCUAAUACAUCGAAAUCUCCUCCAGCCAGAUAUUAUGAGUUUUGACCAGGCUAGAUGCAAAAUGCAUGACCUCUUAAGACAGCUUGCUUGCAAUAUAUCGAGAGAAGAAUGUUUUGUUGGAGAUGUUGAAUCAUUAAGGGGUGAAAAUAUGUCAAAACUGCGACGUGUUACUGCUGUCGCGGCUAAGAACGAUAUAUUAGUGUUGCCCAUCAAGGAUAAGGUCGAAGUUAAGGUGAGGACUUUCCUAACUGUUCGUGGUCCACAGAGAAUUGAGGAUACAUUGUUCAAAAGAUUUCUGCUUCUUCGUGUUUUGGUACUGAAUUACACACUUGUACAAAGCAUUCCAGGCUAUAUAGGAAAAUUGAUACAUCUACGUCUACUUAAUCUGGAUUAUACUGGCAUAUCUUGUCUUCCGGAAUCCAUUGGCUCCCUAAAGAACCUUCAAGUACUGAGCUUGAGAUGGUGUGAUGAUCUGCACAGUCUUCCUUUGGCAAUGACCCUGUUGUGCAGUUUAAGAUGCCUUGAUCUUUUUGUCACAGAAAUAAAUCAGGUUCCAAAAGGCAUGGGGAAAUUGAAGCUCCUCACUUAUUUAGGAGAUUAUCAUGUUGGUGAUGGAAGUGCUAAUGAUGUUAUAAAAGAUGGAUGGAAGUUGGAAGAGUUGUCUUCUUUGUCGCAGAUGAGGUAUAUUUCUCUUGUUAAAUUGGAAAGAGCAGCUCACUGCAGUACACAUACAGUGCUUACAAACAAAAGACAUCUAAACAGACUGACACUGGGGUGGACUGAACGUGGAGAGGGGACAUAUUCAGAAGAUGAGGUUGGCAACACUGAGAAGGUCUUUGAGCAGCUAAUACCUCCACACAACCUGGAAGACCUAUCAAUUAUUAGUUUCUUUGGUCAGCGUUAUCCCACCUGGUUUGGUACCACUUGUUUGUCUUCCUUAAUACACUUGAAACUCCUGGGUGUACGAUCAUGUGUGCAUCUUGCACCGAUCUGGCAUCUACCAAACUUGAAAUAUCUGAGAAUUGAAGGAGCACAUGCAGUUACCAAGGUUGGACCUGAAUUUGUUGGUUGGAAGAAGGGUGAUCCUAUAUGUAAUGAGUUUGUUGCUUUCCCUAAACUUGAAUUGUUGAUCUUCAUGGAUAUGCCCAACUGGGAGGAGUGGUCUUUUUUUGAGGAAGAAGUUGCUAUUGCUGAUGUAAGGGGAGAGGAUGGAGCUGCUGAGAUUCGAAAAGAGGAUGCCCAACCUGCAAGGGUGCGACUGCUGCCCCAUUUGGUGUGGUUGCAACUUCGCGGCUGCCCAAAGCUGAGGCAUCUCCCGCAGCAGCUUGGAAAGGACACCCCCUGCUUGAAGGAACUCAAUUUAAGAGGACUAAACAACUUGAAGGCCAUGGAGGACCGCGCAGUCCUUUCUGAGGUCCUUAUUGGGUAUUGUGAAGGCCUUGAGAGGAUCUGCAACCUCCCUCAAGUGACAGAGCUGCGUGUAGGUGGUUGUCCAAACUUAAGGCAUGUAGAGGGGCUGGGCAGUUUGCAACAGCUGUGGCUGCGCGAGGAUAUGCAAGAGAUCUCUUCCCGCUGGGUGCCUGGGCUUCAGGAGCAGCACCAGCGACUUCAUGGUGAAGACCUGGAUGUCUACACGUGGCUUUAG
rnacentral:rRNA from 1 species